rnacentral:ribozyme from 13 species
AAAGACGAAACAUGAUGAUUGCGAUGGUUUGACCUCGUUUUUUUUUUUUUUUUUUUUUUUUUUUU